rnacentral:rRNA from 1 species
CUCAGGAUGAACGCUAGCGGCAGGCCUAAUACAUGCAAGUCGACGAGAUUAUCCAGCUUGCUGGAUUUGAAAGUGGCGCACGGGUGCGUAACGCGUAUGCAACCUACCUUAAUCUGGGGGAUAGCCCGGAGAAAUCCGGAUUAACACCGCAUAAAAACACAGGAUAGCAUUAUCCAAUGUUCAAAUAUUUAUAGGAUUGGGAUGGGCAUGCGUGUCAUUAGCUAGUUGGCGGGGUAACGGCCCACCAAGGCGACGAUGACUAGGGGAUCUGAGAGGAUGGCCCCCCACACUGGUACUGAGACACGGACCAGACUCCUACGGGAGGCAGCAGUAAGGAAUAUUGGUCAAUGGAGGCAACUCUGAACCAGCCAUGCCGCGUGCAGGAAGACUGCCCUAUGGGUUGUAAACUGCUUUUAUCCGGGAAUAAACCUCUUUACGUGUAGAGAGCUGAAUGUACCGGAAGAAUAAGGAUCGGCUAACUCCGUGCCA